rnacentral:lncRNA from 1 species
AUGGGAGGCUGCACUUCAGCAUCUCUUUGCUCUUCUUCUCUCUCUCAGACUGUUCUGCCGGGAAAGAAAAGCCCCCGAAGAGAGUGUGGUGUGGAGGCUGCCAGGGUGACAUCACGGAUGGUGCCACCGCAGGAGCAGCCAAUUGCGGAGGGUGAGUCCCUCUCACCUGGCACAGGAGCCUAUGGGAGAGAGCAGCACCCGGCAAAGACUCGCUCCUGUUCCUACCAUGCUGAUCUUGCCACUCCUCCUCUCCCUCCGCUCCCCCUGCAGCCUGAGUGCACACACAGACAGACAGACAGACACACAGACACACAGACAGACAGACAGACAGUGCACACACACACAGUGCACACACACACACAGACAGACACACAGACACACAGACAGACACACAGACACACAGACACACACACACACAGACACACACACACACAGAGACACACACACACAGACAGACACACAGACUCACACACACAGACAGACAGACACACACAUACACAGACAGACAGACAGACUCACACACAGACACACACAGACAGACAGACACACACACACAGACAGACACACACACAGACACACACACACACACACACACACACACACACAGACACACGCACACAGCACACAGACACACACACACAGACACACACACACACACACACACUGCACACAGACACACACAGACACACACACACACACUGCACACACACAGACACACACUGCACACACAGAGACACACACACACAGACAGACACACACACACUGCACACAGACACACACACACAGACACACACACACAGACACACACACACACACACACUGCACACAGACACAGACACACACACACACAGACACACUGCACACACACACAGACACACACACAGACACACACACACACACACACAGCACACACACACACAGACACACGCACACAGACACAGACACACAGACACAGACACACACACACACACACACACACACACACACAUUGCACACAGUGUGAGCGCCUGGCAGCUGCUGCCACUGACCCACAUCCAUCACAGCUCCCUGCUCCUGCUGGAGCCGCAGGUUUGUUCAGGGAUUUCAGUGGCAGGAAGAAGCUUCCUCUUCCUCCUAGUCACUGAUGAUUUUAGCUCGUUGUAA